rnacentral:hammerhead_ribozyme from 1 species
AUCCAGCUGACGAAUCACAAAUAGGACGAAACGCGCAUCCUGGAU